GACUGACCGAUAGUGAACCAGUACCGUGAGGGAAAGGCGAAAAGAACCCCGGCGAGGGGAGUGAAAAAGAACCUGAAACCGUGUACGUACAAGCAGUGGGAGCACCCUUUGGGGUGUGACUGCGUACCUUUUGUAUAAUGGGUCAGCGACUUAUAUUCUGUAGCAAGGUUAACCGAAUAGGGGAGCCGGAGGGAAACCGAGUCUUAACCGGGCGUUAA
rnacentral:rRNA from 1 species